GACGAACGCUGGCGGCGUGCUUAACACAUGCAAGUCGAACGGAAAGGCCCUGCUUUUGUGGGGUGCUCGAGUGGCGAACGGGUGAGUAACACGUGAGUAACCUGCCCUUGACUUUGGGAUAACUUCAGGAAACUGGGGCUAAUACCGGAUAGGAGCUCCUGCUGCAUGGUGGGGGUUGGAGAGUUUCGGCGGUUGGGGAUGGACUCGCGGCUUAUCAGCUUGUUGGUGGGGUAGUGGCUUACCAAGGCUUUGACGGGUAGCCGGCCUGAGAGGGUGACCGGCCACAUUGGGACUGAGAUACGGCCCAGACUCCUACGGGAGGCAGAAGUGGGGAAUAGUGCACAAUGGGCGGAAGCCUGAUGCAGCAACGCCGCGUGCGGGAUGACGGCCUUCGGGUUGUAAACCGCUUUCGCCUGUGACGAAGCGUGAGUGACGGUAAUGGGUAAAGAAGCACCGGCUAACUACGUG
rnacentral:rRNA from 1 species